GUCCCCUCUCGCUAGGACGCUAGCGCCAUCUUCUGAAAUGUAAUUGACAGUAGCUGGUCAUCAUCUGCAGCUGUUGCUGUGAAGAAGACGGAGUCUGAAUCAGAAUCCAGUUGGUGCUGCUCAGGUUUUGGCUUGUGACACUUCUUCACUUGUUGGGGCACGGUCUGGAGUACGCUUCUUCUCUAGUUUAGGUGUGAUGUCUUUGGGAUGUCUUCCUCCCCAGCUUCCUUGGCCUUGACCACGUGGGUUGCAAGUAGUUUAGUUUAGUUUACACGCGCAGACGUAAUAGAUGCCAAGCUCCCGCAGAGUAUACGUAGAUCGUGCUUGUGCGGAAGUCAGUAGUGUGUUUGAGAUGAUCGGCGCCAGGGAAAAGGCGCCUGAGAUGAGGGCGAACGCUGAUUUUCAGCAAGACUGAACGAGAACAAGAACAUUUGAUUAAAAAAUGUCUCUCCCCUUUAAAGUGAUCUAUUCUAUUAUCUAUUUCAUUGUUUUUUAAUGUUUGUAUUUUUUAGAGCUGGGAAUUGGAAAAAAAAAAAAAAAAAAAAAA